CAAAUACCACUCCCCUCCCCUAGUUUCCUCUGGGUUUGGGCAUUGGGGUCAGAACCGCCCCUCUCGACUUUUCAAGGAGGCAUGUGGGUCGGUUUAUAGCAUUCAGCCAACAAUCCCCUUGCUUCCCUGUUGUGUUUUCACCGCCUCUUUGUGACUCAGAGCAGAGUCCGCUAAACAAUGGAAAUGUGUUUUGUUCUAAGCCUUUUUAUACUCACUCUGUGUCCAGGUGCUGCGCUGGGUGACUCGGUCCAGUCCAAGGAAUCCCAAGUGUCUGGAGUAGAAGGAGGCUCAGUAACAUUCAGCUGUUCCUACAAAACCACCGAUUUUUCGGGCGUCUCUCUCUCCUGGUACCGACAGUCUCCUAACCGAGCCCCGCAGUACAUUCUGCGGAGAGGAACGAAACUAUACGCUUCUGACAGCGAAAAUGCGGGUUUCGCCCAGCAGAGGUUUUCUUCCCAGGCCGAUGACAGCUCCACAAUCCUGAACAUCACAGCCCUGGAGCUGGCAGACACAGCGAUGUAUUACUGCGCCCUGCAGCGGGCACAGUGACAGAGCCAGGGAGCAGAGCUGUGCAAAACCCUCUCCCUUUCUUCCCAUUCACUGGCCCUGCAUUGGAGAGAGACCAGAGACAGACGUCCCCAAAGCCUCACAGUCUCCGCCC